rfam:Solenopsis invicta Si_gnG.contig92176, whole genome shotgun sequence.
UAAUCUGCCUUUUUCAAGGCAACCAAAUAUUUUAUUUCAAGGAAUAU